UACGGGGGGGGGCAAGCGGUUGUUCGGAAUUACUGGGCGUAAAGGGGCGCGUAGGCGGUUUGCUAAGUCGAAUGUGAAAACUCUGGGCUUAACCCAGAGCCUGCAUUCGAUACUGGCAGGCUAGAGUUCUGGAGGGGAUAGCGGAAUUCCUGGUGUAGCGGUGAAAUUCGUAGAUAUUCGGCAAGAACACCAGUGGCGAAGGCGGCUCACUGGCCCGAUACGUGACGGCUGAGGCACGGAAAGCGUGGGGAGCAAACAGG
rnacentral:rRNA from 1 species